UACGUAGGGUGCGAGCGUUGUCCGGAAUUAUUGGGCGUAAAGAGCUCGUAGGCGGUGUGUCGCGUCGGUCGUGAAAUCUCGGAGCUUAACUCCGAAACUGCAUUCGAUACUGCCGUGCUUGAGGACUGGAGAGGAGACUGGAAUUUACGGUGUAGCGGUGAAAUGCGUAGAUAUCGUAAGGAAGACCAGUGGCGAAGGCGGGUCUCUGGACAGUUCCUGACGCUGAGGCACGAAGGUCAGGGGAGCAAACGGG
rnacentral:rRNA from 1 species